GUACUGGUAGUUCAGGUAGAACUCUCACCUUCCAUAUGAGAGACCUGGGUUCAAGUCCCUGCUAAUACA
rnacentral:tRNA from 1 species